rnacentral:snoRNA from 1 species
AAGACUCUACAUUCAGGGAUCAUUUCUAUAGUUCAUUACUGGAAACGUCUGUCAGAACAUGUAGAGCGCCGGGGGAGGGGCACAGCAUUCUCUCCUGAGCAUGAAGCCAGCUCUUGGUGUCGCCAUUUGCCAUUAAUGAUCAUUCUUCUCUCCCUUUGAGAGAGGAAGAGAGAGAAGGCAACAGUCUUA